rnacentral:lncRNA from 1 species
GCCGAGAAUUGACUUAUAUAAAGCGACAACUCUUUAAAAUUUAUCCGCAUCAUCACAAAAUUCAACUUUUUAAGACAAUUUUAUAAUUAGUUUUAUAAUUAGUUUAAAAUACCGUUGCAUUCAAAAUCACAUGUAUCAUGCAAAGUCGUAUACGUCUAUUUCCCUAUUUAUUAAGCCUUAUCGUCAAAGGUGUCUGCACUCCCUUGCACUUCACUUUUAUCAUCAAUGGAGUCAACCGCCCGAAACCAUCUCAACCUCCUCUUCCUCCUCCUCCUCCUCCUCUUCUUCUUUCAACGACGCGUCGCCACCUCAUCGUCCCUCCCUCUCUUCCCCAGAGAAGCCCACCCCACCAGAUCAGGCUACCUCCCGGUCAACUCCACCAGCGGCUCUGCCAUUUUCUACGCUUUCUACGAAGCUCAGAACCUCACAACGGACAUUUCCAAAGUCCCCCUCCUCUUCUGGCUCCAGGGCGGCCCCGGCUGCUCCUCCAUGCUCGGCAACUUCUACGAGCUCGGCCCCUGGCGCGUGAAUUUCCACAAACACCCUUCUGAUCCCCUGGCCUUGGAACCCAAUUCCGCCUCCUGGAACAGAAUCUUCGGAGUGACCUUCCUCGACAACCCGAUCGGCACUGGAUUUAGCAUCGCCGCUAACUCAGCGGAGAUCCCGAGAGACCAGGGCGCCGUCGCGAAACACCUCUUUGCCGCGAUCACGAAGUUCAUUGAGCUUGACCCGUCGUUCAAAACCCGACCCAUUUACAUAACCGGCGAGAGCUACGCCGGGAAGUAUAUUCCAGCGAUCGGGUACUACAUUUUGGAAAAAAAUGCUGGGUUGCCCGCUGGGUCUAAAGCUGUGAACUUGCAGGGCGUUGCGAUCGGAGACGGUCUCACAGACCCCAUAAUUCAGGUGAACACUCACGCCGUCAACGCUUUCUACUCUGGUUUGAUCAAUGAGAAACAGAGGAGGGAGCUGGAGAAGCUGCAAUUGGUGGCGGUCGGGUUGACGACGGCGAGGAAUUGGAGCGCGGCGACGGAUGCGAGAAACAAGGUGUUGAAUACGCUGCAGCAGAUGACGGGGCUAGCCACAUUGUACGAUUACACGAAGAAUGCGGAUUAUAAGACGAGUUUGGUGGAUGAAUUGCUGAGGAACGAGGCGGUGAAGGCGGCGUUGGGGGCGAAAGGGGCGGCGCCUUUCGAGCGGUGCAGCAAUCUGGUGGGGGAUGUAUUGAACGAGGACGUGAUGAAGAGCGUGAAGUACAUGGUGGAGUAUCUGCUGAAGAAGACCAAGGUGUUACUGUACCAGGGGCAGUAUGAUUUGAGAGACGGCGUCGUCUCGUCGGAGGCGUGGAUGAAGACGAUGAGGUGGGAGGGGAUUGGGAAGUUUAUGGCGGCUGACCGGAAAGUUUGGAAGGUGGAGGGAGAGGUUGGUGGGUAUGUGCAGAAGUGGGGGAGCUUGAGCCAUGUUAUGGUUUCAGGAGCAGGUCAUCUUUUGCCGGCGGACCAGCCGGUGAGGGCGCAGGCGAUGAUAGAAGAUUGGGUUUUGAACAAGGGGUUGUUCGCAAAUGUUAAGGAAUAAGAAAAUACGAAAUUGUUCCUUAAAUUGUUUGUUGCUUAAAAGUGUUUAUUUUUGCACAAUAAAUUUUGGGUUUAGGUUUAAAAUCUUCUACCUUUACAUAAAACAGAAAAGCAAAGGUAACGAUGUCUGAAAUCAGUUAUUUAUCAACACGUGUUUUAACUUUUUUACGUAACGUGAACGGCAUUCAAACUCCUUUUGAACCUUAUUCUCCUCCUUUCCGUUUCUGCCUUUCUGUUCUUUCAACUUUUCCCCCUAUCUUCCCUUUGUCGAAUUCAUGCCCCACUUUUACCACCAACCUCCAUUAAUUCCUAAACAAGCUCACCGCACUAAAUCAGGCUACUUCUCUGAGAACGGAUCCUCUCCGGAGCUAAGCAGCCGGAGCCUCUUCAUCAAACAAUUAGGAUCAUUGAUUGAUGUGCAAGUUAAAUCAAGGUUGUUGGUUGUGUGUGGUGGCCAGUAAAAUGAAUUAAUAGAAACCGUUGGAUUCAAUUUAUGCGGUCUAAAUUGUUUGAUGAGGAGGUUUUAACUGCUUGGCUACGGAGAGGAUCCGUUCUCCUCAUAGUCAACUCCACCACUUCCUCUUCCAUUUUCUACACCUUCUAUGAAGCUCAGAGCCUCGAAGCCUCACCCGAUCGCGAUCCCUCGCAAACCCUGCUUCUCGUUUGGCUCAAAGGCAGCCCGGGAUGCUCCUCCUUGUUUGGCAACUUCAUGGAGAUUAGUCAUUGGUGUGAAUGCAAAUUUCUUCCUCCUUACUCUUGGACAAAAUUGCACCUACAAAACAAAUAACACCUUAGGUCAAGGCCAAGAGCCUCACGCGCAUAUGAUGAAUGAGGGGCUUUGGCUGAAGAACUUCCGAUGCCAAAGUUAGAAUUUUGAGGGAAAAGUGUUUGGAGAAUUUAAAAAGUUCAGCAAGAGAAUUAGGAUUAGGUUUUUUUAGAGAAAAUGGGGUGGUAUAUAUAGGGCAUGGCCAGCCCCCUUGGGAGAGAAGGUGACCGGCCUCUUGUGUGGUUUUUUAGGUGUAAUGGUAGUUUAAUUAGCCAUUAAUAGAUUAAUUAGGUAAUAAAUUCAUUAAUUAGCCAAUUAACAUAAUCUAAAAUGAAUGUUUUGGGGGUUACCUUGUGGAGAUGAUGGAUGAAAUAGGUUUUGAAUAAAUACCUAUUUUGGGCACUUUUGACUUAAUUGUAGGAUGAUUGUCCACUACUUGCGCGUAGGAAUCCCGGUGUGCUUCGAGUGUAAUUUUAUCCUUUUUAUUCAAAAAUCCACAUGUCGCCUUGUAAUUAUUUUUGGCUCCACACUUGACAUGUCAACCUUCAUGCCGCCCACAAUGAUCAUGAUCAACAAGUACACUUUGUGCUUGAGCCAAACCUGGGUGCUUGGAACAUAGUUUCUGGCCUUCUUUUCCUCGACAACCAAAUUAGUACCUGAUUUAGCAUCGCACCUCUACCUUGUGAUCAUAAAUUGGACAACAUAUUGGUUUUUUUCUUUCUUCAUUUUUUCUUUGAAUUUUAGAGUUUAGGGUUUAGGGGAAAGUUAAAUUCAGGAGGGAAUUAGCCAAUUAUAAAAAUUCAUGAUGUAAUUGGUUAAAAUUAAAAUUUAGGAUGGUAAUUGGCAAAUCCUUACAAGUUCGGAGAGAAAAUCGGUCAAUACCUCUUUUUAAAUCAUUUUCUUCUUAUUAUUAUUUAGGAUGCUUUGGUAGAUGAUAAUUUUAGAUUGGUCAAAUUUUAUGUCCUCCCACACAAAAUUUAUUUCAUGAAUAAAAUCCCCCUUACAUGUUCAAAAGUUUAUAAAAAAAAAGAAAAUCAAAACUCAAGAGUCAAAAGUGCACAUGAAAGCAUUUACUAAAUUCACAAUCAUCUCACUUUAAAUGUUCAUUAAUCAAUUUGAAUGAAACCAACUGAUUGAAUAUAAUAAUCAUCAUAAGUGAAUUGCAAUGUGACACGGUUUCAUUAAGCUACGGAGGCUGAGAUGAUGGGUCCCGUUACGUUAGGUUUAGAAUUCACAUCGCUUCUAGAUAACUAAUUCAUUUUUCAUGACACGAGUAUAUCAUCACAUAUGACAUCCGUGUCGAUGAAAUAAGAGGUAUCUAAAUAAAAAAUUACACAUGUAUUUAUUUUAUUGACAUGGAACGUCACUUUGAUGAUGUAAUCGUCCUACAUAGGUAGUGUACUCGUACAGCGUAAAUAUUUAUCCACAAAGAAUGUAAUAUUACGUGAGCAUGAUGAUUUCCUUGCAUGAACUGUGUCUUUAUACAUUUGUAUUGUACGGUUGUACCCAGAGAAAGACAAGAAAGAAAAAAAUCGCGUAGGCAACAAGAGUCAAAAUCAACAAUGCUUGGAGGUGAGGAAUGAGAUUGAGAAGCCAAAUCAAAUGAAUGUCACAAGAAAACAUGCAAUUUACUUGGCAUCUUGUAUUUCAAAGAUUCGAGAAAUUUUUUGAUGUGUUGCAAACACGAAAAAUUUUAACCAAUUGUAUUAUGACACUUAAUAUAUCGAGUUAUUUUACUAGUAUACUAAAAAUUUUCUCCAAAGCUUCUUGUCAUUAUAGCAAUCCCAAAAAUUUGUACCGCUUAAAAAUACCGAACUAUGUCCUGACAUACUAAAAUAAACAUUUCCGAAGAUUCUUAUCAUUACAUCAGCCCCAAAGAUUCGCUUUACGACUCUUCCGACUUUGUAAGGUUGCAAUGUAUGUAAGCAGCUUGCUUGGCCGAGAGUUGACCUAUGUAAAGCGACAACUCUUUUAGUUAUUACUAUUAGUACCUAAAAUUUAUCUGCUUCGUCACAAAAUUCAACUUUAUAAUUAGUUUGAAAUACUGCUGCUGGCACAUGUAUCAUUCAAAGUCGUAUGUAUCGUCCAAAGUCGUACAUGCCGCCUCUUUCAAGCUUUCCUUAUUUCUAUAAAGCCUUAUCGUCAAGGAAGGUGUCUGCACUCCCUUGCACUCCACUUUUAUCAUCAAUGGAGUCAACCGCCCGAAACCAUCUCAACCUCCUCUUCCUCCUCCUCCUCCUCCUCUCCUUCUUUCAACGACGCGUCGCCACCGCAUCGUCCCCCCCUCUCUUCCCUAAAGAAGCCCACCCCACCAAAUCAGGCUACCUCCCGGUCAACUCCACCAGCGGCUCUGCCAUUUUCUACGCUUUCUACGAAGCUCAGAACCUCACAACGGACAUUUCCAAAGUCCCCCUCCUUUUCUGGCUCCAGGGUGGCCCCGGCUGCUCCUCCAUGCUCGGCAACUUCUACGAGCUCGGCCCCUGGCUCGUGAAUUUCCACAAACACCCUUCUGAUCCCCUGGCCUUGGAACCCAA